rnacentral:rRNA from 1 species
UACGGAGGGGGCGAGCGUUAUUCGGAAUUAUUGGGCGUAAAGGGCGCGUAGGCGGCUUGGUGAGUCAAAGGUGAAAUCCCUCGGCUCAACUGAGGAACUGCCUUUGAAACUGUCUGGCUUGAGGCCGGGAGAGGGUAGCGGAAUUCCCAGUGUAGCGGUGAAAUGCGUAGAUACUGGGAGGAACACCGGUGGCGAAGGCGGCUACCUGGACCGGUUCUGACGCUGAUGCGCGAAAGCGUGGGUAGCAAACAGG